UUGUAUAACUGCAGAAGACUUUUCUCC
rnacentral:miRNA from 1 species